rnacentral:rRNA from 1 species
AGUGAACGCUGGCGGUAGGCCUAACACAUGCAAGUCGAACGGCAGCACAGGAGAGCUUGCUCUCUGGGUGGCGAGUGGCGGACGGGUGAGGAAUACAUCGGAAUCUACUCUGUCGUGGGGGAUAACGUAGGGAAACUUACGCUAAUACCGCAUACGACCUACGGGUGAAAGCAGGGGACCUUCGGUCCUUGCGCGAUUGAAUGAGCCGGUGUCGGAUUAGCUAGUUGGCGGGGUAAAGGCCCACCAAGGCGAAGAUCAGUAGCUGGUCUGAUGUGAUGAGCAGCCACAGUGGAACUGAGACACGGUCCAGACUCCUACGGGAGGCAGCAGUGGGGAAUAUUGGACAAUGGGCGCAAGCCUGAUCCAGCCAUACCGCGUGGGUGAAGAAGGCCUUCGGGUUGUAAAGCCCUUUUGUUGGGAAAGAAAUCCAGCUGGCUAAUACCCGGUUGGGAUGACGGUACCCAAAGAAUAAGCACCGGCUAACUUCGUGCCAGCCGCCGCCGUAA